rnacentral:rRNA from 1 species
GAUGAACGCUGGCGGCGUGCCUAAUACAUGCAAGUCGAGCGAACAGACGAGGAGCUUGCUCCUCUGACGUUAGCGGCGGACGGGUGAGUAACACGUGGAUAACCUACCUAUAAGACUGGGAUAACUUCGGGAAACCGGAGCUAAUACCGGAUAAUAUAUUGAACCGCAUGGUUCAAUAGUGAAAGACGGUUUUGCUGUCGCUUAUAGAUGGAUCCGCGCCGCAUUAGCUAGUUGGUAAGGUAACGGCUUACCAAGGCAACGAUGCGUAGCCGACCUGAGAGGGUGAUCGGCCACACUGGAACUGAGACAUGGUCCAGACUCCUACGGGAGGCAGCAGUAGGGAAUCUUCCGCAAUGGGCGAAAGCCUGACGGAGCAACGCCGCGUGAGUGAUGAAGGUCUUCGGAUCGUAAAACUCUGUUAUUAGGGAAGAACAAAUGUGUAAGUAACUAUGCACGUCUUGACGGUACCUAAUCAGAAAGCCACGGCUAACUACGUG